GCUCAUCACUGCCUUAUAAUGGAAGGCCUGAAUCUUCCAUCACAAUGGACUGUCCUUUUGUAUCAACACCUUGGCCUGCACUCAAGACCAUUUUCUCCCUUAUAGUCCAGGAGACUCGAGUCUCCUUGAGAACAGGGGUUAUGGCUGGUUCCUCACUAUAUCUCAGUAUUCACCAGUUUGGCACCUACAAUUAAGUCUUUAAAAAAUGCUACUGAAUGAAUGGAUACCCUGACCUCAGAGGCACCCUACCUAUAUCAGAGAUCCUUCUGGACACCAACUCUCCUCUUUACAUUCAACUGGAUCAGCUUCCUUCCAAUUCCUACACUGUGAAACACGUUGGCCCUAUGCUGGUUAGACUCUCCUAUUUUAACUGGAGCUGGAACUGAGUUUUUUUUUCUUAAUCAGACUUGCAAAUACAUGAAGAGGAGCAGCCCUGCUACUCCAAAUAUGAGCACCGAGAGGAAGACUUGUUUGGGGUUCAUGACCAUUUCAGAUGGCUGCAUUUCUCCUCGUUUCUGAAGACCACAUGAUUUGUUUUUCCAUAGAGAUUGGAUCUUUUGUUCUAUUAAGUGCUCAUUCCAUGAAGUAACCUAGAAUUUUUAAAAAAUCCACAUUGUACCUUGCUCAUGAUAUUUCUUUCCCAAUAUAGCAUAAAUAAGCAGAGAUCAAUGAUAAUGAAGACGUACGUGAACUGGAAUGUUCUAAAGACAAAGACUGUAGGAGAUUGUCCCUAGAAUGGCAACUUUCUAUCAUAAUGUAAGGAAGAUAUCAUCCCAUGUGACUUCCUCUAUAACUCCUCCAGCGACUGCUCUACUGCUGUCAUUCCCAGAUGAGCCUGAAGACAGCACUCUGCCCUGGCUGUCUCAGAUGCCUCUUUUCCAGACAUCUCUCCACCCAUAGCUGUCCAGGAAGCCAGAAGAUGUGAGGAGGCUCACAAGUUGUAGACAUAGACAACAUGAUCUACUGGGUGUUAAGGGAACCAGAAGAAUCACUUUUCUAUCCUCAAUUCUUCCUGGCCUGAGGACCUUGUUAGUGACUCCUGUUUGGCAAACCCUGUUGAAAGCCUAUUUGGCAACCACUGUUGAAAGAGGAGAUCCUGCCAUUUGGGACAACACGGAUGAAACUUGAGGACAUUCUGCUAAGUGAAAGAAGUCAGACAGAGGACAAAUACUGAAUGACCUCACUCAUAUGUGGAAUCUAAAAAAGUCCCCUAAGCCCCAAAACUCAGAAAAACUUUUUAUGCAGCACAUUCUGGUAAGCCUCCCAAAUCACAAAGCAGGGUAGGGCAUGGUAGAGAUGGGAGAUAUCAAUUCUGUGUUCUUUAUGAAUUUCCCAAGAUAAUAUUCCUUAUCCUCAAAUAUUAAAAUUAUUCUUCUGUAUUUACUUUCAAAAGUUACAAAGUUCUGUUCCUCAUAUUUAGUACUUGAAUCCACCUGGAAUUUAUUUUAUGUACGUUGUAAGGCAUCCAUUCCAUACAGAUACCACUUGUCCAACUCUUAAUUGAGGUUAUCAUUUCACUACUGAUUUUUUUUUUGUUACACUACUGAUUUCUAAUGAUUUCUUAUAUUUCAAAUUCUUAUAUGUUUGUUACUGCUUCUAGAUACUAUUCUGUUCUAUUGGUCCAAUGUCAUAUGUUUGUAUGAACAUCUGGGCCUAUCUUGGAGGGAUGGAAAAUGAAUCUGAUUACUGAUUUAAUUUUCUUAAUGGUUAUUUGUUUAUUCAUUCUACUUUUUUGAGCCAGCUUUAGAAAAUUACAUUGCCCACACAAUUAUCAUUUCCUUUGGGUUUCCAAAUGUACCAGCAUAAAGUUGUUCAUGGGAUUUUAUGAUUUUAAAGAUCUUUCAUAGCCUUAGGUAAGCCACCUCUCCAUUCCUAAUAUUAUGUACUUGUGUUUCUUUUCUUUGAUCAUUCUUGCUAGAGAUUUGUCUGUUUUGCUUAAAAGUAUAUUGCAAUUCCUCUCUCUUUU